GCUCAGUAACACGUGGAUAACCUACCCUUAGGACUGGGAUAACCUUGGGAAACUGAGGAUAAUACUGGAUAGGCAAUUAUUCCUGUAAUGGUUUUUUGUUUAAAUGUUUUUUCGCCUAAGGAUGAGUCUGCGGCCGAUUAGGUAGUUGGUUAGGUAAUGGCUUACCAAGCCGUUGAUCGGUACGGGUUGUGAGAGCAAGAGCCCGGAGAUGGAACCUGAGACAAGGUUCCAGGCCCUACGGGGUGCGGCAGGCGCGAAACCUCCGCAAUGUGAGAAAUCGCGACGGGGGGAUCCCAAGUGCCAUUCUUAACGGGAUGGCUUUUCAUUAGUGUAAAGAGCUUUUGGAAUAAGAGCUGGGCAAGACCGGUGCCAGCCGCCGCGGUAACACCGGCAGCUCUAGUGGUAACAAUUUUUAUUUGGCCUAAAGCGUCCGUAGCCGGUUUAAUAAGUCUCUGGUGAAAUCCUGUAGCUUAACUGUGGGAAUUGCUGGAGAUACUAUUAGACUUGAGACCGGGAGAGGUUAGAGGUACUCCCAGGGUAGAGGUGAAAUUCUGUAAUCCUGGGAGGACCGCCUGUUGCGAAGGCGUCUAACUGGAACGGUUCUGACGGUGAGGGACGAAAGUUAGGGGCGCGAACCGGAUUAGAUACCCGGGUAGUCCUAACUGUAAACGAUGCGGACUUGGUGUUGGGGUGGCUUUGAGCUGCUCCAGUGCCGAAGGGAAGCUGUUAAGUCCGCCGCCUGGGAAGUACGGUCGCAAGACUGAAACUUAAAGGAAUUGGCGGGGGAGCAC
rnacentral:rRNA from 1 species